CCUACGGGAGGCAGCAGUGGGGAAGAUUGCGCAAUGGGCGAAAGCCUGACGCAGCGACGCCGCGUGAGGGAUGAAGGUCUUCGGAUCGUAAACCUCUGUCAGCAGGGAAGAACGGUCACGGUGCUAAUCAGCAGUGAAUGGACGGUACCUGCAAAGGAAGCACCGGCUAACUCCGUGCCAGCAGCCGCGGUAAUACGGAGGGUGCGAGCGUUAAUCGGAAUUACUGGGCGUAAAGCGCUCGUAGGCGGUAUGUCAAGUCAAGGGUGAAAUCCCCGCGCUCAACGUGGGAACUGCCUUUGAAACUGGCAAACUGGCGUGUGUGAGAGGAUAGUGUACUUCCAGGUGUCGGCGU
rnacentral:rRNA from 1 species